AACGAACGCUGGCGGCAUGCCUAACACAUGCAAGUCGAACGAGACCUUCGGGUCUAGUGGCGCACGGGUGCGUAACGCGUGGGAACCUGCCCUUAGGUUCGGAAUAACUCCCCGAAAGGGGUGCUAAUACCGGAUAAUGUCUUCGGACCAAAGAUUUAUCGCCUUUGGAUGGGCCCGCGUUGGAUUAGCUAGUUGGUAGGGUAAAAGCCUACCAAGGCGACGAUCCAUAGCUGGUCUGAGAGGAUGAUCAGCCACACUGGGACUGAGACACGGCCCAGACUCCUACGGGAGGCAGCAGUGGGGAAUAUUGGACAAUGGGCGCAAGCCUGAUCCAGCAAUGCCGCGUGAGUGAUGAAGGCCUUAGGGUUGUAAAGCUCUUUUACCCGGGAUGAUAAUGACAGUACCGAAAGAAGAAGCUCCGGCUAACUCCGUG
rnacentral:rRNA from 1 species